rnacentral:rRNA from 1 species
GGGAUAACACUUGGAAACAGGUGCUAAUACCGCAUAACAGUUUAUGCCGCAUGGCAUAAGAGUGAAAGGCGCUUUCGGGUGUCGCUGAUGGAUGGACCCGCGGUGCAUUAGCUAGUUGGUGAGGUAACGGCUCACCAAGGCCACGAUGCAUAGCCGACCUGAGAGGGUGAUCGGCCACACUGGGACUGAGACACGGCCCAG